rnacentral:rRNA from 1 species
UACGUAGGGUGCAAGCGUUGUCCGGAAUUAUUGGGCGUAAAGAGCUCGUAGGCGGUUUGUCGCGUCGGCUGUGAAAUCCCGAGGCUCAACCUCGGGCCUGCAGUCGAUACGGGCAAACUAGAGUGUGGUAGGGGAGACUGGAAUUCCUGGUGUAGCGGUGAAAUGCGCAGAUAUCAGGAGGAACACCAAUGGCGAAGGCAGCUCGCUGGGACGUGACUGACGCUGAGACGCGAAAGCGUGGGGAGCAAACAGG